rnacentral:rRNA from 1 species
ACUCCUACGGGAGGCAGCAGUGGGGAAUCUUGGACAAUGGGGGCGAACCCUGAUCCAGCCAUGCCGCGUGAGUGAUGAAGGCCCUAGGUCGUAAAGCUCUUUCGCCUGUGAAGAUAAUGACGGUAGCAGGUAAAGAAACCCCGGCUAACUCCGUGCCAGCAGCCGCGGUAAUACGGAGGGGUUAGCGUUGUUCGGAAUUACUGGGGCGUAAAGCGCACGUAGGCGGAUCGGAAAGUUGGGGUGAAAUCCCGGGGCUCAACCCCGGAACUGCCUCCAAAACUAUCGGUCUAGAGUUCGAGAGAGGUGAGUGGAAUUCCGAGUGUAGAGGUGAAAUUCGUAGAUAUUCGGAGGAACACCAGUGGCGAAGGCGGCUCACUGGCUCGAUACUGACGCUGAGGUGCGAAAGUGUGGGGAGCAAACAGGAUUAGAUACCCUGGUAGGAUAGCG